CACUAUGCUCAGCCCUAAACAUCGAUAGCAAAUUCACCGAUCCUAUCCGCCCGGGAACUACGAGCGCAAGCUUAGAACCCAAAGGACUUGGCGGUGCUUCACAUCUCUCUAGAGGAGCCUGUCCUAGAACCGAUAAUCCCCGUUCAACCUCACCCCUCCUCGACUUUCCAGCCUAUAUACCGCCGUCGUAAGCUUACCCUGUGAAGGCCUAGUAGUAAGCCCGUCCAUUCAACUUCCUAACGUCAGGUCGAGGUGUAGCUUAUGAAGGGGAAUGAGAUGGGCUACAUUUACUAACUUUAGUACACACGGAUGGCCUACCUGAAAAUGGUUAGCCUGAAGGAGGAUUUAGCAGUAAGCUUAGAAGCAACGCAUCUAGCUGAAUUCUGGCUCUGAAGCAUGUACACACCGCCCGUCACUCUCUCCAAAAAUACUUUCCCACCCUGAAUAAAGUUCCGCUACAAAUAAAGGGGAGGCAAGUCGUAA
rnacentral:rRNA from 1 species